rnacentral:tRNA from 1 species
UUACAUAUAGCUUAAAUAAUCUUAUAAUAGAGCGUUUCAUUUACACUGAAAAGGUGAAUUAUGUAAA